UAUACUGCAAGCCCAUUGUAUACUGCAGGUGUUUUCUCUGCUUUACAUAAGAAUAAAAAAUAAUUCCUCUCAUGUCUGCACAUUUGCUCUAAUUUAGCCUUUUGCAUGACAAAUAUCACACUGUUUUCUUUAAGAGGGGGUGCUCAGAUAUAACAUAACACAAGUGGCUUGAGCACUGUGUCAUGGACACAGAAGGCUUUUGCUUAUUUUCAAUCCAAACUUUAUUGUGAAAGAUAAAUAUCACAUAAAUAUCUUCCUAAUUCAUAAUGUUGGUAUAUUCAAAUAGAGAUUCUAAAUUUGCAUAACAAACAAACUUAUGCCAUGCCAUGUUGUUAUGCCACUGUUGACCAGUAGAUGGAGCCCUAUGCUCUGUUGCUCUACUGGCUGUCCAUGGCAAAUGAGGGUGAUAUUGAUUACGUAUUAAAUACUAACGUAGAUUGACUUCUUACAAUACUAUCACAUUUUUGAUCUGACUGUGUUCUAUCUACAGUACACCUGGAUCAAGAAGAGUGGAGCUGUAGAACUGAAGAUACAUGUAGGAAAGGAGAACACACUCACCUUCAGAAAUAUCCGUUCUGAGGACAGUGGAGAGUAUCUCUGUCGAGCAGCCAAUAGGAUUGGUCAACAGGACUCUCCUGCUGUGUCUGUCCGGGUUUUAUAUCGUCCAAAGAACACAAGAAUUGUGUCUGCUCCAUCUGAUACAAUAACUGAGGGAACUAGAGUGACUCUGACCUGCAUGAGUAAAGCUGACCCACCAGUACACACAUACACCUGGAUCAAGAAGAGUGGAGCUGUAUAACUAGAGUCAGGAAAGGAGAAGACACUCACCUUCAGCAAGAUCCGUUCUGAGGACAGUGGAGAGUAUCUCUGUCGAGCAGACAAUAGGAUUGGUCAACAGGACUCUCCUGCUGUGUUAAUCAAGGUUUCAUACCCACAUGAGAAUGUAGCCGAUAGGAUUGGUCAUCAGGACUCUCCUGCUGUGUCUGUCCAGGUUUUAGCACCAGUGUGCCACAGCCUACUGACUGCUGCUCUUGUUGGAGUCGGAGUCUGUGGGGUUUUAAAUCUGCCUUGUGUCAUAUACUUGCUGAGGACUUGCUUGAGAAAUAAGAAGACAAGAAGAGAAAAUACUCAGGAUGGAAACCAUGGCAACAACAUGCAGAUGAACCUGAACCCCAACACCACCCAACCUGAUGCAGUCUAUCAGAGCCUGAACCCCAACACCAUGCAACCUGAUCCAGUUUACCAAACCCUGAACCCCUACAGCCAUACAAAUUAAGUUUAUCACAAACCUAGCAGCAGUGUAUUCUGUUUUACACCCAGAAAUAUAAAGCAGAGUAAAUAUAGACCUUGCUUGUACCCAACAAAACUGCAAUGCGUAUUAUUUUCAGCAGAUAUCUAGGACUUUGUUAAGUAGAAUG